GUGUUGAUGGUUCAGUGGUAGAAUUCUUGCCUCCCAUGCAGGAGACCCGGGUUCAAUUCCUGGUCAAUGCA